CAAAAUACAUAAUUAUAUAGAAUGCAAAAUACGAAUUAGCUCAGUGUCUUCCUGAUACCAGUGCUCUUCACUAAUUUUUUUUGCGCACGUUUGUAUGCCUCCAACCAAUGUGAUGCCAAUGAGAAGCCCCAAAUUGUUACCCACAAAUUAAUUGUCUCCGACAACAAUUCAGAAGACCACUCUUCUUCAUCAAUAUCUUGAGAAACUAAACUCCAGUAGAAUAGUACAUUUUCAUUUUGUCCGACGGCAUCAACAAUUGUUACAGUUAGAAUCUUCAGAGACAACAACUCUUGGUAAUGUAGUGCAAACAACACCUUCCACAGUACAAAAAAAUCGAAAAUAUUCGUCAUUCAAUGGGAAUAAACCACCACGAUUUACUUUGUCCAUCCACUCUGUAGUGUAUUGAGUAAAAUCUGUUGGUUCUCCCAUGACAGCCAUUUCUCCAAGACACAUCUCAAAUUGAUCAAAUUUUUUGCCUCUCUUUCUCUUGUACUUGCGUAGAAGCUUAAGCGCCAUGUAUCCACACGCAUAAUGCAGUGCAUUUAACUCGUCUUUAUUAAAUUCGACACCAUCAACAGUAGCUGCACGAGUCACAGGACCAGUAUCACAGCCAAACUGUUUCUUCAGUAACAUCUCAAAAAGGGAUCUAGCAACACUCUGAAUUAGUAAAGGAUCCUUUCCCAAAGUCUCAAUGUUUAAACACAGUUGAGUCCAAAGAGUGCUUAUUUGGCUUGUAGCUACUGUAUGAUACGCCAUCCACAGCUUUAACUCAGCAGUUUUUUUUUACCUUAAUUAAGCUUGAUGUUGUGAAACAGGACUUCAGGGCAGUUACUAAAGUUUGACAAAAUGUAACAAAAAGAUCAUGAAUCCAUAUAGAACAGCAGUUGUAUAUAGAUCACCUAGUGUUUCAAUGCUGCUACUCUUGCAACAUAUGACUCAGUUGCUUGGCCAAGUAGGUACACAAUCAACAGUUAUUAUGGGCGACUUUAAUGAUGAUGUUUUCCAUGUGUCUGGUUCCGUACUUGAACAGUUUAUGUUGUCCCAAGGAUAUACACAGCUAGUAAGGCAAUCCACUAGUGACCGGGCAACAUUGAUUGAUCAUGUGUACUUUAGUGAGCAGAUAAGCAAAGAUGUGGUAGUUCAAGUACGACAUGAUGCUGUGUAUUGUUCAGUACCACUGCACUAUUGUAAACAAUGUAUCACAUGGCAAAUAUGAGGUAAUAUGAGGUAGUUCAAGUACAGUAGAACCUCGAUUAUCCGGCCCUCGAUUAUCCGGAACCUCGAUUAUCCGGCUUGGCAGUUUUCUUUUUAAUCAGAUUACAUAAUUCAGAAAAUGGGCGUGUCCCUCAAAUGCGCAUGCGCGUUGCAGCUGUUACCAUGGAGACAUGCCUGCUUUUCUUUUGCGCAUGCGCAGACAACAUGUGGCACUGCUGUUCAUCAAUAAAGUGGGUGGAUCAAGGCGUGGUUUAUCUAUUCGAUUAUCCGGCAUAUUCACUUAUCCGGCCUGCUUCUGGAACCAAGGUGUCCGGAUAAUCGAGGUUCUACUGUACGAGAUGUAUACUAUAGUGCUGUGUAUUCCACUGUCGGUUUUGUAUUAAGUAUAACACUAAUGUAUCACAUGAGCAAAUAUAUCACAUGAGCAAAUAUGGCAACAUGGCAAACAAAGUUAACUCCUGCAAAGCAAUUUUCUUUUUCAGGUUCUCCAACACUAAUACAGGACUCAACAACAUUGUACACUUCACUAACAAAACCUUGUGUUUCCUUUCAAAGUAACAACUUGUUGCAGUAACCCGUAUCAUUGCAAGGUUCAUCAAUGGGACUCAAUGACUAAACAAUUAUAAGUACUACUACAUGCUCUGGGUGACCAACAAUGCAUGCAGUGUUGUGUUGAUUUCUAAAUGUGACAGGCUCUGGGAAAACAGACCAAUUGGCGCAAGCUAUAAUUUUUGCGAUCUAUAUACCAGAUGAUAGAGCAAAGAAUUGCCUACGUAUUGAUGUGCUUAGUUUGCACAUAUCUCGUUCCAUGCCUGAGUUAUGCGCGUUGGAAACUCGAAGUUGUAAAACAGCAGUAUUGAGAAACGCCCACUCAAAGAUUGCUAAAUUGGGAAAAGUAAGGUAAUGGUGGCUGCUUAGACAAAGCGCUUUGGUGGAAAGAGUUGGAUUCAGAGCAUCAGAUUUUGCAGAGAGGUAGUAUAAAGACUGUAGAUAACUAUAAUCCAAGAAAAAAAAUUAUGAGAUUAUACACUGUAGUCUAUAAAUCUGGCUAUUGCUCAAUACCAAUAUCUGCUCCAAUUGGUCUGUUUUCCCAGAGCCUGUCACAAA